rnacentral:tRNA from 1 species
CCAUUGGUGAUUCAGUGGUAGAAUUCUCACCUUCCAUGCGGGAGACCUGGGUUCACUUCCCACUCAGUGCA